UCUGUAUCAGACCAUACGGCGCUAUCCUCAAAAUGUUCAAUUUCACAUGACGUCGUCUGUGUGCUGUGAUUUGUGGUUAAAAUUAACUCAACUUCCGUACCUUAACAUAAAAUUAUCGUAUUGCUGGAUUUUCUACGAAAACCAAAACGUCCGAACUGGGAAGUCUUUACCUCUACUCGUUAUAUUUGGCACUUUUGUUUGAGUGGCUCUUGACCUUACGUGUUUUUGCGGAGGGAUUGUUAUGUCUGCUUGGCAUUUCACAUUGCGCUUCUAAGACAAACUUCCAUUGAGGUAAAACGCACAAACAUUUCGAGCCGAUGUCGACAUAUCGUGGUCGUCGUCUACAAGAACGUCGUCAUGUUCUUCAAAAAAGUCGUCAUGUUCUGCAAGAUCGUCGUCAAUAAUCUAAAAUUAUAAGAUUGUCUUCAAUUUGAUGCUACACUUGUGGGUUCCACAGAGUAUUCAAAAAUCGUGGGUACAGCAUCCUUCUUAAGGGGAAGCCGUCCUGCUGUCCAUCCGACUCAUUGCAUCGCUUCAAAAUAUUGCACGAAGCACGAACUCUCGAAAUGUUGCGAGCACAAUUUUGAGCUCUUUGUUGGCUUCCAAUUUUUGCGUCGGUUUAUCUCGCAUGCGCUUGUUUUCGGGAAACGAAAACAAAGAAACCUUUUGUUGCGUUUGGUGGUUCUUAGAAGAACCGUUUUUACAAUCAAAUGCGGCACAAUAAAUCAUAUUUUCAAUGCUAAAUUGUCGUGUUGUUAAUGCAGGCAAAAUGUUACCAAUAUAUUUUGAACGAAGCGCGCAAUUUACCGCGUCUAGCUAGUGUCAACUAUUACGUCACAACGACGUUUUUCCGAUUUGGUAGCCAUCGUUAUCUCGUCGGGCAUAUUCAAUACCUUAUCAGUAAAGCAUCAAAUUUAAACCUCCAUAUCUUCAAAAUUAUUUAUCCUUUGGGUCUCAAACUGUGGUGAACUAUUACUUGGAGCUAUACCUUUAUGUACAGUACAAAAAUAACAAUUCGAAUUUUAUGUUGCAUGUGUCCUUUAAGGAGCUUUUAUGGGGUAUGUAUAAAAUGUGGAACGGAAUGGCAGAAAAAGGAAUAAAAUGCGGAAAAAGGAAUAAAAU